rnacentral:rRNA from 1 species
GAGCGUUCUAUGUGUGAUGAAGGUAUACCGUGAGGAGUGCUGGAACGCAUAGAAGUGAGAAUGCCGGUAUGAGUAGCGAAAGACAGGUGAGAAUCCUGUCCACCGUAAGACUAAGGUUUCCAGGGGAAGGCUCGUCCGCCCUGGGUUAGUCGGGACCUAAGGAGAGACCGAAAGGUGUAUCCGAUGGACAACAGGUUGAUAUUCCUGUACUAGAGUAU